rnacentral:rRNA from 1 species
CAGACAAACUCCGAAUGCCAAUUAAUUUAACUUGGGAGUCAGAACAUGGGUGAUAAGGUCCGUGUUCGAAAGGGAAACAGCCCAGACCACCAGCUAAGGUCCCAAAAUAUAUGUUAAGUGGAAAAGGAUGUGGCGUUGCCCAGACAACUAGGAUGUUGGCUUAGAAGCAGCCAUCAUUUAAAGAGUGCGUAAUAGCUCACUAGUCGAGUGACACUGCGCCGAAAAUGUACCGGGGCUAAACAUAUUACCGAAGCUGUGGAUUGUCCUUUGGACAAUGGUAGGAGAGCGUUCUAAGGGCGUUGAAGCAUGAUCGUAAGGACAUGUGGAGCGCUUAGAAGUGAGAAUGCCGGUGUGAGUAGCGAAAGACGGGUGAGAAUCCCGUCCACCGAUUGACUAAGGUUUCCAGAGGAAGGCUCGUCCGCUCUGGGUUAGUCGGGUCCUAAGCUGAGGCCGACAGGCGUAGGCGAUGGAUAACAGGUUGAUAUUCCUGUACCACCUAU